rnacentral:rRNA from 1 species
CCUACGGGAGGCAGCAGUGGGGAAUAUUGCGCAAUGGGCGAAAGCCUGACGCAGCGACGCCGCGUGAGGGAUGAAGGUCUUCGGAUCGUAAACCUCUGUCAGCAGGGAAGAACGGUCACUGUGCUAAUCAGCAGCUAAUUGACGGUACCUGCAAAGGAAGCACCGGCUAACUCCGUGCCAGCAGCCUCGUUAAUACGGAGGGUGCGUGCGUUAAUCGGAAUUACUGGGCUGAAAGCGCUCGUAGGCGGUAUGGCAAGUCAAGGGUUAAAACCCCGCGCUCAAAGUGCGAACUGCCUGUGAAACUGGCGAGCGGGAGUGUAUGAGAGGUAAGCGGAAUGCCAGGUGUAGGAGUGAAAUGCGUAGAUAUCUGGCGGAACAUCAGUGGCGAAGGCGACUAUCUGGCACAUAACUGACGCUGAGGAGCGAAAGCGUGGGUAGCAAACAGGAUUAGAUACCCUAGUAGUC